UCUCACGGGGUGCUCGCCAGUCGAGCUGAGAGGCGAUGGUCGCCAACCCGACGAACCUGAUCCGGGUCAUGCCGGCGGAGGGAUUGAGGA
rnacentral:ncRNA from 1 species